rnacentral:rRNA from 1 species
CCUACGGGAGGCAGCAGUGGGGAAUAUUGCGCAAUGGGCGAAAGCCUGACGCAGCGACGCCGCGUGAGGGAUGAAGGUCUUCGGAUCGUAAACCUCUGUCAGCAGGGAAGAACGGUCACUGUGCUAAUCAGCAGUGAAUUAACGGUACCUGCAAAGGAAGCACCGGCUAACUCCGUGCCAGCAGCCGCGGUAAUACGGAGGGUGCGUGCUUUAAUCUGAAUUACUGGGCGUAAAGCGCUCGUAGGUGGUAUGUCAAGUCAAGGGUGAAAUCCCCGCGCUCAACGUGGGAACUGCCUUUGAAACUGGCAAACUUGAGUGUGUGAGAGGAUAGUGGAAUUCCAGGUGUAGGGGUGAAAUCCGUAGAUAUCUGGAGGAACAUCAGUGGCGAAGGCGACUAUCUGGCACAUAACUGACGCUGAGGAGCGAAAGCGUGGGUAGCAAACAGGAUUAGAUACCCCAGUAGUC